rnacentral:RNase_P_RNA from 1 species
AGUGGAUCGUUCCAUCGCGGUAGAAAUACUGAGGAAAGUCCGGACAACGCAGAGCGCUGCACCAUCUAACGGAUGGGGUUUCCAAUUUUGUUGGGAAUACAGAGAGUGUCACAGAAAAUUACCGCCGCAGCAUUUUUGUUGAGGUAAGGGUGAAAACGUGUGGUAAGAGCACACGAUCCUGAAGAGUGAUCCUCAGGAUGGAUAAACCUUGCAGGUUGAAAUGCCAUGUAUAUUCCAGCGCUGUUAACAGCAAAUUGUUGCUCGCAAAAUGCCAUGUUCGCAUGGCUGCCGGAAGGGGUAGGCAGAGACAGAUCCUUAUGGUGACAUAAGGACAAGAUAAAUGAUGGAAGCUAUGCAAAUAGUACAGAAUCCGGCUUACAGAUCCAGAUUUUUC